rnacentral:rRNA from 1 species
UACGGGGGGGCAAGCGUUGUUCGGAAUUACUGGGCGUAAAGGGCUCGUAGGCGGCCAACUAAGUCAGACGUGAAAUCCCUCGGCUUAACCGGGGAACGGCAUCUGAUACUGGAUGGCUAGAGUUUGGGAGAGGGAUGCGGAAUUCCAGGUGUAGCGGUGAAAUGCGUAGAUAUCUGGAGGAACACCGGUGGCGAAGGCGGCAUCCUGGACCAACACUGACGCUGAAUAGCGAAAGCCAGGGGAGCAAACGGG